UACGUAGGGUGCAAGCGUUGUCCGGAAUUAUUGGGCGUAAAGAGCUCGUAGGCGGUCUGUCACGUCGGCUGUGAAAUCCCGAGGCUCAACCUCGGGUCUGCAGUCGAUACGGGCAAACUAGAGUAUUGCAGGGGAGACUGGAAUUCCUGGUGUAGCGGUGAAAUGCACAGAUAUCAGGAGGAACACCGGUGGCGAAGGCGGUUCUCUGGGCAUUACCUGACGCUGAGGAGCGAAAGUGUGGGGAGCGAACAGG
rnacentral:rRNA from 1 species